CAUGGCAAAUGAUGAACAAUUUGAUAGUCGAUCAGUAGCAGAACAUUUUGAUGUUGAGAUAAUCCAAAGAAUAUAAUCAGAACCGCUACUCUGAGCCAUG